CUACAGAACCUGGCGGGGGCCAUGGGAUGACCUGUUUGGCCACCUGAGGCCUGCAUCCAUCGGGAUCUGUAAGAAGCGACCACUGACAUUGAGAAUGGCACCAGCCAUCUCCAGAAGGGGCAGGUCAUCUAACUCACUGGCCACACACUUCGCCUGGCCUGCGGAAGAAAGCCCGAGGCUACCUGGUUGAAGAAAGAGGCAUUUGUGCUAAAUUAGGCGGUUUACAGACCUAAGACCAAAAAGCAGCCACAGGGCUCCCUUCUCUCCUCUCAAAAUUCUUAAGGUGCCAAAGACACCCCCACCCACCAGCCUCUUCAAUUCCAGGCAGAACCCAGCCCUGUGCCUGGCUGUCAUCAAGGGCACCAGGCUGGUGUUUUGGCAACAAACCAGCUUUCAAAGUGACAUCAAAUUGCUGUGAAUCACCUGAUCUGAUUCAAAUGAGGACUUAGGUGGAUUUAGAGAUAGCUGAUUGCCUCAGAUUAAUGCACAAUUGCCUCAGAAAGUAAUUUACCUCUCGGAGUUUCAGUUUGAGCAGAAAGAAGGAAGAGAUUUCUUCUGGAGGUCCUAAGAUAAGCCACAGAAGAGCUUCUCUCCACAAAGCCCCCAUUUGUGGCCAUGGAAGGCAAGCGAAGGUUGGGAAUUGGCAGCAAACAAGACAAACAGACUCUGCUCUCAUGGUGCUGAGGACCUUGAGACCUACAGCCCCAAGCCAAGGAACCCAGCUUUCCCGUCACAGCACAGGGUGCGAUAAAGAACAUCAGGU